AGCAAGAUAAUUAAAACAUUACUGUUACCAGUUUGAUGUUUGCUUAGAUUAUGACUACAUUAUUGUUCUAUUUUAAUUGCUUUUUAUAUUAAAGAUAUUAUUAAAAUUAAUAAUAUUGGAUCAGAGUGAGACUCAAUAAAAAUAUAAAAACCAAAUUUUUUUGCCAAUGAAAGAAACAUACAUGAUUCAGGAUGCGUUUGUUGUACCUGACUAUCUCGGAUUGAAGUAACUUUCAAAACUAAGUUAGACUGACUUGGCUUUGACUAAGCUGGAUAAGAAUAGUGGAGUGUUUAGAGUUCAAAUACUUCUUUUAUCAUUCAUUAAUUCAUUUUACUAUUAUUAAUACACCUUUUUUAUCUUAAAAAAAAAACAAAAUACAACUAUUUUUAUUUGACUCUCUCUCUCUCUCUCCCCCCGUCUCUCUCCACGGUCUCUCUCUUUUCUUCCUUCAUUUGCUUUGGUUCUUCACGCCCAGAUUUGCUCCCAGUAAAACUUAAACCAGAAAAAAUAAAACCCACAUUUUUUCUUCUUUGCAUUUUCUUUCUCUUGAAUUCAAACCUAUAUUUUUCUUCUUUUAAUUUACUUACUUUCUCUUCAAAUCAAACCCAGAAAAAUCUCCAAUUUUUUUUUUCAAUUUGCAAAGGCUUCGUCGGAUCUACAAAUUCAUUUCAAUCGACCUCUCCAAAUCAACGUCAAUCGAUCUUGCAGAAGAAAGAGACAAACUUGCUAGCGCAUCUUCCUGGCGAAGCUCUUGGCAAACUCGAGUAGGGUGCGACGGUUGGUGCGGGAUCUGGAAGAAGAAGCAAGUUGAGGAAGACAAAGACAAAGACAAAGUGAGUUGAGGAAGACGAAGACCAAGCAGACGAAGCGAAGCGAUGGUCUUAGCAAUCCUAUCCUUUUUGGGCGGUCUUGUUGAGAAUUAAGCUGCAUUCUAGCUUUAGAGUUAUCCUGCAGAAGCUAAACCUGCAGAUGAAAUCAAAAAAGAGAGCUAAGAAAUCUGAAGUAAUGAAGACCUUACUAAAUCAGGAGGAGCCAUUGAAAUUCAAUGGCUAGUUUCUUUUUCUAGUUUUAGAAAGAUUACAGCUGGUGUUUUUGUUUUGUUUUGUUAAUUGAACUGAGCCUUCCCAUCUUCUUCCAAGUGGAUGGAUGAUAUCCUCCAAUAACCAUUUAUGGUCGGAGAGGAGUUCUAGGUCCAUAGAUGUAGGAUCUGUUUUUAGACUGGCUGUGGAAAGAUAUAGUCUUUGUAAUUUGUCUUUUGAGAUCAUAUGAAAAAUACAGUGACCUUUGCUCUUCCUCUUCUCUCUUGGAAAAAUCAAAUUUCUUCAAACCCUUCCUAAAAGUUUCAAUCUUUAUCAACCUAAAUCGAUAUGCCUGGUACCAUUUCAAACAUGGUAUCAGAGCUUCGGUUCUGAUUUCGAAGAAGGGACGUGAUUCUGUGAAGAAAAAAAAAAUUCAGAAAGGGUUAAAGGUGGUACCUUUAUAACCAUUUGUGAUGUGCUACCUGAGAAGAUGACUGGAUCAAGCUCCUCCGGUGGUGAUUUACGAACACCACAAUUUAAUGGAUCAAACUACGAUUUUUGGUCCGUAAAAAUGGAAACCAUUCUCAUAGCAUACGACCUAUGGGAUGUGGUUGAAGUUGGUCUUGCUGGACAACAAACAACCAGAGAGGAAACCUCUGAGGAAGAAGAAGAAAGCGAGUCAGAGCAUAUUCCAGUUGAAAAACCAGUUGUUUCAAAGGAAGAAAAGAUCAAGAAUGCCAAAGCUCUAAGCCUCAUUCAAGGAGCAAUCACUGAUGAACUUUUUCCCAGAAUCCGAAAUGAGAAGACUGCAAAGGGUGCCUGGGAAAUCCUGAGAAGAGAGUUCAGAGGAGAUAAAAAGGUAAGAGCUGCUGUGAAAUUACAAGCCAUUAGAGCUGAUUUUGAAUAUCUAAGGAUGAAUGAUGUUGAAUCUUUGGAUGACUACCUGGCUCGGUUUUUUGAAAUAGUAAACAACUUGAAAUCUCUAGGAGAAGAUGUAACAGAGAAAAGAAUUGUUCAAAAGUUGUUGAUGAGUCUAGGUAGGAGAUAUAAGUCUAUAGUGUCAAUCAUUGAAGAAACCAGAGAUCUGGACACUAUUAGAGUUGAGGAAGUCUUAGCUUCAGUGAAGGUCUAUGAUAAAAGAGAAGACCUGCAUGAUGAAAGAGAGAAAUAUACAGGUACUGAGAGAGCUUUCAGCAGCCUUAAAGUCGGAGGAAAUGGAAAUGGGAAUGGAAGUGUCAAAGGGAAUCAGUAUAAGACAAACCCAAAAUGGGGUCAGUAUAAGAAGGGUAAGAACUGGUCUCAAAACACCUGGAAUAAUGGAAGUGGAAGUGGCUGGAACAACAAAUUUUCUACACACAACAGGCAAUCAAGUGGCAGCCAAGGAAAUGUGAAACCUCAGUGUCAAGUCUGUGAAAAAUACCAUUUUGGUGUGUGCAGAUACAAAGGAAAAGCCAAGUGUGGAAGGUGUAAUCGAUUUGGUCAUUUAACUAAGGAUUGUGACAAUGGUAAACAAGUUGCAAACUGUGCAAAGGAAGAAGAUGCAGUCACAGCAACCAUGUUCUAUGCUUGUCGUGCAAGUUCAAUUGCAUCAAGCAAGUCAGUGUGGUUUUGUGGACAGUGCAUGUAGCAACCACAUGACCUCUCAAGAGUCCUUAUUGAUCAAUCUUGAUAAAUCUGUGACCUGCAAAGUAAAAAUGGGUACUGGUGAUCUUGUUCAAGCCACAGGAAAAGGAACACUUGUAAUUGAGACAAGAAGAGGGAAAAGAUACAUAAAUGAAGUGCUGCUAGUUCCAGGAUUAGAUGAAAAUAUGUUAAGUGUUGGUCAAAUGAUGGAACACGGUUAUUAUGUUCUAUUUGGUGGCAACAUGGCUGUGAUAUUUGAUGAUAGCAAUCUUGAAAAUGUGGUAGCAAAGGUGAUUAUGACAGGGAACAGAUGCUUUCCAUUGUCCUUUGAAUCUAUAAAUACAGUAGCUAGAAAAGCCUCAAUUGAAGAAGAGUCAAGGAUCUGGCAUAAAAGGCUUGGUCACUUGAACCUUAACAGUCUAAAAAGGAUGCAGAAAGAAGGAUUGGUGCUUGGGUUGCCUGCAUUAUCUGAGAUGAAGGAAGUUUGUGAGAGUUGUGUUUCUGGGAAGAUGCAUAUGGAACCAUUCGAUAAAGAGAAAGUGUGGAGAGCUAGUCAACCAUUAGAACUGGUAUACACUGAUGUUUGUGGACCAAUGCAGAAUGAAUCUGUUGGUGGCAACAGAUAUUUCAUAACAUUCAUAGAUGAUUUCUCAAGAAUGUGUUGGGUGUAUUUUCUGAGGAACAAAUCUGAUGUGUUCAAUGUGUUUAAGAAAUUUAAAGCCUUUGUUGAGCUACAAAGUGGUUUCAAGCUUAAGAAGCUGAGAAGUGACAGAGGAGGUGAAUAUACCUCCCAUGAAUUCUUGAAUUUCUGUUCUAACAUUGGAAUGGAGAGACAAUUACAGUGGCAUACUCCCCUCAGCAAAAUGGAGUUGCUGAGAGAAGAAAUAGAACUAUUUGUGAAAUGGCUAGAUCAAUGAUGGCUGAGAAGAAUAUUCUUGUGAUUUUUUGGGCUGAAGCAGUUGGAACUGCAGUAUACUUGCAGAAUAUGUGUCCUACAAUCUCUGUGAAGGGUAAAACACCAUUUGAAGCUUUCACAGGGAGAAAACCAGGUGUAAAACAUUUGAGUGUUUGGAAGUAUUUGUUACAGUCACAUUCCAUCAAAUCUGAGACAGAAAUUUGAUGACAAAGCAAGCAAGGGGAUCUUUAUGGGGUAUGGCAGUUGUGAGAAUGGUUACAGGAUUUAUAAUCUUCAAACAGAGAAGAUUAUUCUCUCAAGAAGUGUAGUGUUUGAUGAGUAUAAGACUUGGAAUUGGGAAAACAAGCAAGAUGAAGCUGUCUACAUGCCUCUCAACAUUGGAAAUGAAAACACUGAGAUAACAGAAAUGGAAGAAUCUUCUCAUGAAACUCACAGCAUUGACUCUCUAAAUCCUACUCAAUUAAUCUCAGAUGAUGAACAUGUUCCUGGAAGCAACAUUGCCAGUACAAGUCAAGGCUCAACACCAAGCAAUACACCAGUAAAGCUGAGAAGUUUGGAGGACAUUUAUGCAAGAUGUCAUAUGACCGUUAUUGAGCCUGAAACCUAUCAUGAAGCUAUUGAAGACAAUGCAUGGAAGGAAGCAAUGGAUGCUGAGAUUGAAACUAUUGAGAAAAAUGGAACUUGGGAGCUGGUGGAAAGACCUGCAGACAAGCCUGUCAUAGGAGUCAAUGGGUGUUCAAAACCAAACUGAAUCUUGAUGGAUCAGUUCAAAAACACAAGGCUAGACUUGUGGCAAAAGGGUAUGCUCAGAAACCUGGUAUUGACUAUAAUGAAACCUUUGCCCCAGUGGCAAGGUUGGAUACAAUUCGAACUUUGAUUGCACUUGCAGCACAAAAGGGUUGGAAAUUGUUCCAACUAGAUGUUAAGUCAGCCUUCUUAAAUGGAGUGCUUGAGGAGGAGGUUUACACUGAGCAACCCGAGGGUUUUGAAGUCAAAAAUGCAAGUCACAAGGUCUAUAAGUUGAAGAAGGCUCUCUAUGGUUUGAAGCAGGCUCCUAGAGCCUGGUACAGUGAGAUUGACACUUAUCUCACAAACUGCAAUUUCAAAAGAAGCAUAAGUGAGGCUACCUUAUACACUAGAACUGAUGAUGAAGGAAAUAUGAUCAUAGUCUCUAUAUAUGUUGAUGAUAUAGUAUACACUGGAGGUAGCAAUACACUGCUCAGUGAGUUUAAAAGAGACAUGAUGCAGAAAUAUGAGAUGACUGACUUAGGACUCUUACAUCAUUUCUUGGGAAUGAGAGUUCUACAAACUGAAAGAGGGGUUUUUAUUCAUCAAAGCAAAUAUGCAAAGUCCUUACUUGUAAAGUUUGGUCUGGAGGAUUGUAAGUCAGUGACGAUACCUCUACCCACAGGUGAGAAACUGAAGAAAGUUGAUGGAAGUGAGUUGGCUGAUGAAGGGUUGUUCAGGAAAAUAGUUGGCAGUUUGCUAUAUUUAACUGCAACUAGGCCUGAUAUAAUGUAUGCAGCCAGUUUGCUAUCAAGGUUCAUGCAUGGUCCCACGAAGAAGCACGUGGGAAUAGCUAAAAGAGUUCUUAGAUACAUUCAAGGUACUCUCAACUAUGGCAUUGAAUUUACAAGGGACAAAGAUGCUGUUUUGAUUGGAUUUUGUGACUCAGAUUGGGCUGGCAGUGAAGAUGACAGUAGGAGCACAUCCGGGUAUGCAUUCAGUUUUGGUAGUGGUACAUUUUCAUGGGCCUCAGUCAAGCAAAACACAGUUGCAUUGUCAACUGCAGAAGCAGAGUAUGUCUCAGCAGCAGGAGCAACAGCUCAAGCCAUCUGGCUAAGAUUUGUUUUGGAUGAUUUUGGUGAAUUGCAAGUUGAUGCAACACCAUUGUUUUGUGAUAACAUGCCUGCAAUAUCUAUGGUCAAAAAUCCGGUUUUUCAUCAGAGAACCAGACACAUAAACAGGAAAUAUCAUUUUAUUCGAGAAGCAUUGCAGCAAGGAUCCAUUGAUGUGAAGUACUGCAGAAGUGAAGAGCAGUUGGCAGAUAUAUUUACAAAAGCUUUGCCUAAAGAUCGAUUCAAUUACUUGAGGAUGAAGUUAAGAGUAAAGCCAGUAAGCAGCUUAGGAGAGGCUGUUGAGAAUUAAGCUGCAUUCUAGCUUUAGAGUUAUCCUGCAGAAGCUAAACCUGCAGAUGAAAUCAAAAAAGAGAGCUAAGAAAUCUGAAGUAAUGAAGACCUUACUAAAUCAGGAGGAGCCAUUGAAAUUCAACGGCUAGUUUCUUUUUCUAGUUUUAGAAAGAUUACAGCUGGUGUUUUUGUUUUGUUUUGUUAAUUGAACUGAGCCUUCCCAUCUACUUCCAAGUGGAUGGAUGAUAUCCUCCAAUAACCAUUUAUGGUCGGAGAGGAGUUCUAGGUCCAUAGAUGUAGGAUCUGUUUUUAGACUGGCUGUGGAAAGAUAUAGUCUUUGUAAUUUGUCUUUUGAGAUCAUAUGAAAAAUACAGUGACCUUUGCUCUUCCUCUUCUCUCUUGGAAAAAUCAAAUUUCUUCAAACCCUUCCUAAAAGUUUCAAUCUUUAUCAACCUAAAUCGAUAUGCCUGGUACC
rnacentral:lncRNA from 1 species